UCUGAUCCUCCUCCACUCAUGCUCUGUGUGUCUCUCUCAAAAGUAAAAAAAUAUUUAAAAAUUUUUCUUAAAUGGAGUUGGGAGGCCAGAAGGGGGAGCUCUCACCCCUAUCACUCCUAGUCAAUUGCAGAACCAACAGGAAGGGACUACCUUGCAUUCCAGACAGGAAGAACCCUAUACUUUACUACCCAAGCUGGAGGAAGAAAGGUUUUCUCCUUGCCUGGCAACAGCCCAGCCAAUGAGAGACUGUCAUUACUCAGCUAGUGAUGGCCUCUACACUUCAAACUCCCAGGUUACUCCAAUGAAUUUUUGUUUAUAAUAGCUCCUCCCAAUCCCCCCCUUUCUUCUAUAAAAGAGCAUUCUUCUCCUUUGUUCUCAGACUUGCCUAUGGUUUGCUGAAGCUUGCUUAUUCUGAAUUGCAAUUCUUUGCUAUCUCCAAAUAAACCCAUCUCUCCUGGUAAAGUAACUGACAGUUUUAUUUUUAAGGUUAACAACUUUAACCAUGGAGAUUUCUAACAAGGAGACAACGUCAAGCUCUCAGAGCACAAGACAGUGAAUUUUUAGAAGGGGCUCUUUCCUAAGUGUGUGAAGGCUCUUCUGAGCAUAGCCAGCAGUUAAGAGCACAGACUCUGAAACCAGACCCCUGGAUUUGGAUGUUGGCACCAUUGCUUUCUGUCUCUGUGACCCUUGGGAUUGUUUCCCCAAUCACAUUUUCUACAUCAUCGCAACCAUAAUGUUAUCCCAGUAAAGCUUUCAUGCAGCACCUAUUCUGUGGUAAGUGGCUCUUUCCCCUGAGUCUGUUGGAAGGUGAUUGAAGUACAGUGCUAUAAUAAGGUUGUGAGGGCUUGGUGAGGGCUUGAGGCAGGUCCAUGGGGGUGGGGAAGGAGGUGAUGGGGAUGAAUUCAAGAGACUUUAGGCCAAGUCUAAUAUCCUUUAUGAGGUAUGUCAGUUGGAUGUUGGGCAAAGGAGAGGGGAGAUAACUGACUCAGACUUGACAAGCCUAAGAAUUUGGUAAUAACAUGAGAAAGAACUCAGAAAAGGAGCAGAGGCAGUUCAGUCUGGGGCAUAUCAAGUUUGAGAUACCCAAGGACGUCCAAGUGGGGGCUGGUGUAGCAGAUACCGUGGUAUGUCACCCAGAUCCCUCUUUCAAGUCCAAAGCACUCAUUCCCCCAUCCUGGAAGUGUUGGUGACUGAGGUCUCUCAACUGAGUCCCAGUCUGUAUUUGUACCUGUCCUCAGCUGAUGAGGCCCAAGGUCACACUGCCUUCCUAGGCAAUCAACAUCAAUGACUAACCAAAGUGGAGCUAUAAAGGUCAGGCCCCCUUGCUCAAAGCAGGACAAAUAUGAAGGCUGUCCAGAUUCCCAAGCUCAUUACGGGAUUGGUGGUGGCUUUUGUUUUGACCAUUCAGUUCCUUCAUCUGCCCAAUUAUACUUCCUCUCCUCCCCCAUUGAUGCUGAUACCGAGAGUACUCCCCCCAAAACUUCCUGCCUACAGAUCUCCAUUUUGGAGUCUGUUUUCAGGGAACCAAUUCUACACAGUUGGAAAUACAUAUCUGGGCUUGGGAGGAAAGUUUGUUUGUGUGAGAGAGAUUUGGGGACCAUUUGUCAUAGGAAAGAUGGUGGACAUGGGGCUGUGGGGCGAGAUAAUGGAAGAUGAGGGGCCCCAUGAGUCUUAGGGAAUGAAGGCUUACACAGAGGGGCUGGGAAAAGGAAGAAUAGAUAGACAAGAGAACAGAGGCACAACAAUGUAAGGUGAAGACUGGUGUUUUCA